CUCAGGACAACCCUAUUUCAAAUCUUCCUCCUCUACUUCUGAGGCUGGGAUUUUCUCUCUCUCCUGCAGGUCUUAAGUGAGCACCUGUCACUGGUAUACUCAGUCUGGAACCACAUGGGAAAGGAAGAACUGCGUUCCUGGCCCCUUGUUUGCAUCUCUUUUACACAUCAACACUUUAACAGGACUUUAUCUCAACUAGAGAAAUGAACAGCCCCAGAUGGAUGGAGAUCCACAACAGCAGGAGAGGCAUGGCAGCAAACAUCAGGAGCUGAAAGGUAGCAGAGCACAUUUUCUUACACAGGAAACUAAGAGUACAAGCUACAAAGGCCACCUGCAACCUUAGAGAAGGCUCUCCUUCAAAUGAAUGGAGUGGAAUACAACUACUCUCAAGACAAUGAGAAUAAAGGAAAGCUGAGACAUUGUGUGGAGCUUGAGAGAUAGCUCAGUGGUAAAGAGCACUGACUGCUCUCCCAGGAGACUGAGGUUUGAAUCCCAAAACUCAGAUG